CAAACUCAGUUUGCAGGAAGGAGCAUAGGAGAAUAAAGGAUGGAACAAAGAAGAAAAAGAACAGCAAGUUACUCUGAGUAUUGUGGAAACAAACUGAAAUUAGAGUGAGAGAGAGAGAGAAAAAAAAAGAAGGUCCGAGCAAUCUCAGAUAUAUGAGAGGCCAAGAUGGGAAGAUCACUUGGGUAAGACUGGGAAGAUUGAGUCUGCAGUGAGUCACAGUCGCAUCAUUCUGCUGGAUUUGAAUGGUACUGCUUCUGGCCCAAGUUGUCUGGGCAACCUUAGACAUGGGUGUCCAUCGCGCUUCCUUCACUGCCUUGAUCAUGUCGGGGUCACCACCUGCGGGGGUUUGUCCUGCAGACCCUGACUCAACGACGGAUGAAUAAUGUACACUGACACAGAUCUUAUGCUUGUCAGUCCUGCUGAGCAUCCAGGCCACUUACAGACUCCAAGAAGAGUCCUGUCAGCCACGGCUCUGACUUGUUGGCCCUCCCGGC
rnacentral:lncRNA from 10 species